rfam:Schistosoma mattheei strain Denwood, Zambia genome assembly, scaffold: SMTD_scaffold0005346
ACCCAACUGACGAGUCCCAAAUAGAACGAAACGCACGAUCUGGAU